rnacentral:lncRNA from 1 species
UGCAUGUAGUAUAGUGUCAGAAUGAAAAUUACAACCUUAAAUGCCCAUUGUGACACAUAUGGAACUAUUUUCAAUAAUUUACUGUACUGUGCUGUUGCCUGGUGGCAGUUAUGUGAACUACAGCCAGUGAGCAGAUCUACCAUACACAGUAAACACCAAUUCUUCAUAACCUCUAAGUCUUCAUACCUGUAUUUAGCAGAAAAAAAAUGUCACAUUGUCGACUAAGAAGACAUAACAACACAACUUCGCUUUUACCCCCCGAUGACAGUGAAGACAGUUUGGUGGAUGACUCAGAUGAGGAUCCAGAUUACACCC